AAGGAUGGCAUCCUAUGACGGCCAAAUCUACAAAUUUGUUGUUGCUACUCCCAUUAUUCAUUCAAUGGUCUCAUUCACACUUGAUCACAAUAAGGUGGUUCAUGACGAGUGCCCACCUACCGAAUAAAAGAAGCAAGUUAGUACACAGAGUCUUCCCUCGCCCAAUUAACCUGCUUUGCUUCGCUCGCUUCCAUUUUGUUUCUAUACUUUAUUGGUCUUAUAAUACCUUUUGUUUAUAUUCAUGGUAGUUGUUGAUAUUUUUACUUAGCGUUAAAGUUUAUGUAUAAGAAAUCUAUGAUGUUAAUAAUGGCAGACCGGUUGUAAUCUAUUUUGUUACUGUUUCAUGUUUCUUUACGUGCAUACUGCAGUCGCUACACUCAUAAGUUAGUUCACUUAAAAAUUUGUUUAUGUGUGUUCAUUUACCUUCAUUUAUCUAUGUUUAAGUUCGUUUAAUAGUCAUUUCAAGUUUUUAGGCAGUUACAAUUUAGUCUGGUUUUAUUUAAUUUAUUGUAGCAUAUUGUAAUAUGAUUUAAGGUUUUCAUAUGGUAGUGAGUUCUCUCAAUGAUUUUUAUGGGUUAGUCAUGUAUGGAGAGUCAUGCGUGCACAUAUGUUAAGAUAUUUGAUUUGACUAACUCAUAGCCGUUGCUUAUGUUUACUUGCUUAAACCUGUUGUAGACAAGAAACUACUAAGGGGAAGGGCGACUACAUGGGCAUGCAUUAGCGGCAGAAGAUUUCGUGAAUUAUUGAAUAAACCGGAAGCUUUAUGAACUCCUUUAAGUUUUUUUCCUGUAAUGUAUGUUUUUAGACUUGGCAUACAAGUUUGUUCUUAAACACAUUCCGCAAACAAAGUUUCCUGUGCUAUGCACGCCUUAAAUUUUGUGUGGCUGGCUUAUGGUACAAGCUCUUAUGACGUUUUGUAUGGC